rnacentral:rRNA from 1 species
UACGGGGGGGGCAAGCGUUGUUCGGAAUUACUGGGCGUAAAGGGCUCGUAGGCGGCCAACUAAGUCAGACGUGAAAUCCCUCGGCUUAACCGGGGAACUGCGUCUGAUACUGGUUGGCUUGAAUCCGGGAGAGGGAUGUGGAAUUCCAGGUGUAGCGGUGAAAUGCGUAGAUAUCUGGAGGAACACCGGUGGCGAAGGCGGCAUCCUGGACCGGUAUUGACGCUGAGGAGCGAAAGCCAGGGGAGCAAAGC